rnacentral:rRNA from 1 species
AUUGAACGCUGGCGGCAGGCUUAACACAUGCAAGUCGAGCGAGCGACGGACGGGUGAGUAAUGUCUGGGAAACUGCAUGAUGGAGGGGGAUAACUACUGGAAACGGUAGCUAAUACCGCAUACCAGCAGAUGUGACAAGAUGGGAUUAGCUAGUAGGUGGGGUAAUGGCUCACCUAGGCGACGAGCCCUAGCUGGGCGAAGAGGAUGACCAGUCACACUGGAACGGGGACAAGGUCUCGACUCCUACGGGAGGCAGCAGCGGGUAAUAUUGCACAAUGGGCGCAAGCCUGAUGCAGCCAUGCCGCGUGUGUGAAGAAGGCCUUCGGGUUGUAAAGCACUUUCAGCGAGGAGGCGUUACUCGCAGAAGAAGCACCGGCUAACUCCGUGACAGCAGCCGCGGUAAUUC